GUGAGUUUGAAGAAACAUACAGUGACAUGUGGGCUUCCCUAGUGGCUCAGACAGUAAAGAAUCCACUUGCAGUGCCGGAGACCUGUGUUUGAUCCCGGGGUCAGGAAGAUCCCCUAGAGAAGGGAAUGGCUACGCACUCCAGUAUUCUUGCCUGGAGAAUUCCAUGGACGGAGGAGCCUGGUACUGUGAAUUUUCUCCCAGUAGAUUAUGGCUGAAAGGAUUGGGCCCACUGGAAAUCCUCAAAAGCUAUCAGCUGAAACUAACCAGAAGCCAGAAGACAAGGCAACCCACAGAUGCAGCUUAUUCAUUCAGCCCUAACAGAGCAGAACAAAUAAGGCUGAAGAGUAGGUUCGGACUCACAGAGAAGACAGCUGGCACAGAAGCUGACAAGAUGUUUCCGAAUGAGCUUUGCCAGGUGUUGGCACAUUUGUGGGAUCACCAUGGAUACAAGUUCUGCUCCUCAAUUUUUAAGCUGCACCUCUAUUUUAUUUAUCAGCAUUUUCUAGAAUGAUUGAAAUAAGAGAUUCUGGAGACUCAACUAACUGGAAGGGAAACGUUACCUUCUACAUUCCAAAUCAAAUGUAAAUAUACAACCAGCUGACCCAACUUGACCUCCAGGCUCAGAUCAUCAAAACUUUCAAGGUCCUUGAGAGAAGGAACCAUUCAUGUCUGGCUUGCCUAGCACAGUGACCAGUACAGAAGAGAUGCUGCUGCUGCUGCUGCUGCUGCUAAGUCGCUUCAGUUGUGUCUGAUUCUGUGCGACCCCAUAGAUGGCAGCCCGCCAGGCUCCCCCCCCGUCCCUGGGAUUCUCCAGGCAUGAGCACUGGAGUGGGUUGCCAUUUCCUUCUCCAAUGCAUGAAAGUGAAAAGUGAAAGUGAAGUCGCUCAGCCGUGUCCGACUCUCAGCGACCCCAUGGACUGCAGCCCACCAGGCUCCUCGGUCCAUGGGAUUUUCCAGGCAAGAGAUGCUAAAAAAAAAAAAAAAAA
ensembl:lncRNA